ACGGGGUGCAGCAGGCGCGAAUUUUUUACAAUGCACGAAAGUGUGAUAAAGCAAACCAAAGUGCUUAUCGUACAGAUAAGCUUUUCUUCAGUGUAAAAAACUGGAGGAAUAAGGACUGGGAAAGACCGGUGCCAGCCGCCGCGGUAAUACCGGCAGUUCAAGUGGCAUCCAACUUUAUUGGGUCUAAAACAUCCGUAGCUUGCUUUGUAAGUCUCUUGUGAAAUCUGAUGUCUCAAGCAUCAGGCUGGCAGGAGAUACUGCAAUGGCUAGAGACCGGUAGGCGUAAGGAGUACGGAGAAGGUAGCGGUAAAAUGUGUUAAUCUUCUUUGGACUAACGAUUUAGCGAAGGCACCUUACGAGGACGGAUCUGACAGUCAGGGAUGAAGGCCAGGGGCGCAAAACGGAUUAGAUACCCGUGUAGUCCUGGCAGUAAACACUGUUCACUAAACAUCGGGCCCUCUUCGGGAGGAUUCGGUGCUGAAGCGAAGGCGAAGAGUGAACUACCUGGGAAGUAUAGUCGCAAGGUCGAAACUUAAAGGAAUUGGCGGGGGAGCAC
rnacentral:rRNA from 1 species